rnacentral:rRNA from 1 species
UGGGGUGGUAGCGGCGGAGUGUUGGAGCUGCGGUGGGGCUUGACGGCAGCGGUCCGCGGGAAGCGGCCUUGAGGAGGCAGCGACGGCCUAGAGCGCAGGGGCAGGAGGAGGUGUUGCUGCAGGUGUUCGGUGCGGUUGGGGGGGAAGAGUCGUUGCGAACCUGGAGCUCUGGUGACGGCCAUGGGGACACUAGCUGAUGUAGCUGCUGCUUGGGAAGAAUGGUCUCGUUGGUCUACAACCUCGGGUCCUCGGUCUGCGGUGACAGCUACUGCUGAUUAUGAUAAACCUUCCACGGAUGAUGAUGCACGUCGGGCGACUGCUGCUGGUCCUCAUCAAAUCCUCCUAGGGUCCGUCCUCCAAACGCGGAGCAAGCUAGACAUAGGGUCAAACACAAUCGGAAGAAUUCCGUUGAACAAAUUGAAUACAAAUAUGAGUCUAUAACAACGAAGGCGACUGAGCAGAUACUAGCUCAAGAACAUAAGCUCGGAAGCUCCGGGG